GACGAACGCUGGCGGCGUGCUUAACACAUGCAAGUCGAACGGAAAGGCCCUGCUUUUGUGGGGUUCUCGAGUGGCGAACGGGUGAGUAACACGUGAGUAACCUGCCCUUGACUUUGGGAGAACUUCAGGAAACGGGGGCUAAUACCGGAUAGGAGCCCCUGCUGCGGGGUGGGGGUUGGAAAUUUUGGGCGGGUGGGGAUGGACGCGCGGCUUAUCAGCUUGUUGGUUGGGUAGGGGCAUACCAAGGCUUUGGCGGGUAGCUCGCCUGAGAGGGGGGCCGGCGACCUUGCGCCUGCGGUACGCACCAGACUCGAACGGUAGGCAGCAGUGGGGAAUAUUGCACAGUGAGCCGACGCGUGGUGAAGAAACGCCGCGUGCGGGAUGACGGCCUUCGGGUUGUAAACCGCUUUCGCCUGUGACGAAGCGUGAGUGACGGUAAUGAGUAAAGAAGCACCGGCUAACUACGUG
rnacentral:rRNA from 1 species